GACGAACGCUGGCGGCGUGCUUAACACAUGCAAGUCGAACGGAAAGGCCCUGCUUUUGUGGGGUGCUCGAGUGGCGAACGGGUGAGUAACACGUGAGUAACCUGCCCUUGACUUUGGGAUAACUUCAGGAAACUGGGGCUAAUACCGGAUAGGAGCUCCUGCUGCAUGGUGGGGGUUGGAAAGUUUCGGCGGUUGGGGAUGGACUCGCGGCUUAUCAGCUUGUUGAUGGGGUAGUGGCUUACCAAGGCUUUGACGGGUAGCCGGCCUGAGAGGGUGACCGGCCACAUUGGGACUGAGAUACGGCCCAGACGCCUACGGGAGGCAGCAGUGGGGAGUAUUGCACAAUGGGCGGAAGCCUGAUGCAGCAACGCCGCGUGCGGGAUGACGGCCUUCGGGUUGUAAACCGCUUUCGCCUGUGACGAAGCGUGAGUGACGGUAAUGGGUAAAGAAGCACCGGCUAACUACGUG
rnacentral:rRNA from 1 species